GGAGAGGUAUCGAAGCGGUCAUAACGAGGCGGUCUUGAAAACCGUUUGACGGAAACGUCACAUGGGUUCGAAUCCCAUCCUCUCCGCCA
rnacentral:tRNA from 1 species